GACGAACGCUGGCGGCGUGCUUAACACAUGCAAGUCGAACGGAAAGGCCCUGCUUUUGUGGGGUGCUCGAGUGGCGAACGGGUGAGUAACACGUGAGUAACCUGCCCUUGACUUUGGGAUAACUUCAGGCAACUGGGGCUAAUACCGGAUAGGAGCUCCUGCUGCAUGGUGGGGGUUGGACAGUUUCGGCGGUUGGGGAUGGACUCGCGGCUUAUCAGCUUGUUGGUGGGGUAGUGGCUUACCAAGGCUUUGACGGGUAGCCGGCCUGAGAGGGUGACCGGCCACAUUGGGACUGAGGUACGGCCCAGACUCCUACGGGAGGCAGCAGUGGGGAAUAUUGCACAAUGGGCGGAAGCCUGAUGCAGCAACGCCGCGUGCGGGAUGACGGCCUUCGGGUUGUAAACCGCUUUCGCCUGUGACGAAGCGUGAGUGACGGUAAUGGGUAAAGAAGCACCGGCUAACUACGUG
rnacentral:rRNA from 1 species